CACGUCUCAUCUCCUUCUAUCUUUAUCUCUUCUCUUCUUUGUUCUCACCCAUCCCUCUUUUAUCUCUCUGCUCUCCAGCCCUGUUCUUCUUCUUCUUCUGCUCUCCAGGUCAGAUCACUUUUCAAUUGUUCUUGCAAUUGUUCUUUAUCUUUUUUGAUAUUUUCAGAUGGAGAAACCUCUGGACCUUCACAACGAAUUUGGAUUUCGGUUCUGUAGAUCAAGUUCGUGAUCUUGAGACCCGAUUGGGACCCUGGGUCGACUUCGCGAUCGCAAGUAAACAACUCGAUACGCUACGGUACAGAAGAGUUUGAUCGCAAUCCAAAUCAACUUUCACUUUCUUUUGGAUCGCCAUCUUCAUUGAUCUUCCAUAUAUGAGAUUUGAUCAGCAAAAAGAAGAGUUUGAUCGCAAUCCGAAUCAACUUUCACUUUCUUCGAUUGGGACCCAACAAAUUCCAUAAUUGCUCCAAUCUUGAAGCGAUUUUGCUCGCUGGGUCGACUUCGCGAUCGCAAGGCGUCUUCUUCUUCUGUAUUUUCUGAUCGCAAGGUAAAAUUCUCUUUUUGGGGUUUUCUGAACCAAGCUUUGAUGGGUCAGAGGAUUCGAAAUGGAGGUUUCUCUGGGCUGAUUCAUAUGGAUUUGGAGGUCUGAAUCUGGG